UAUACUAUAAUUAUCAAGGACUAAUCCCUACACCGGCUGAGAGAACAAUUGAUAAUCCUCAAAAGAUUAAACAGAUUUUCAUCGAACGUAACUAAGCACCAUCUGGAUUAAACAGGCUUUCGAAUAAAGGAAACUCCAUUCAAAUCGGUCCAUCCGUUUGAGCGCUACG